AAUAGAUGUUGGGAUUGUGUGGCAGAGCAGAGGGGAGGAAAGGACCCACGAAAGCCAAUACCUCAACGGACUAUUUGAAAUGGUUUGACUAUAACAGGAUACAUGGAUACAAACUGGCAGCUCUAUAGCCUACAUAACCAUACCUGACAUAACCCUACACAAGCACACCCUGAGCAACAAACACCAACACUCAAGCAGCACAAACCAGCGACUUCCAAUCGACUCAAAAUCAAUAGAAGUUUGCCAUCACCCAGCCGGCCAAAUGCUAGAAUUCAUAACGUUUUCAAGUCAAAUCUGCGAACAUGGCAAAGACAGGACCAAGACAUGGGACACACAAUAUGAAAUGAGAAAUCCAUCACACAUUCUACGUGACAUUCGACUGUCUUGCAGGAAUGUGACACUACGGAGGAUAUAAAAAUGAAAAUAAUAAUCUGUAAUAGAAAGACGAUCAGGCAUUUGUGCACUAUCAUCUCUUUGUCUUUGCUUUCUGCCUGUGAACGGCCACUCAAUGAGGAAAUAAUGAUGAUGAAAAACACCUCCGCCAAGAUACUUAACCGGAAACAUUGAAGUCCAGGAUAUUAAAAAGGAAAUUAACACGACAUCAAAGACCUGAGUUAGGACACUUAAUCAGAAAUAAUGAAGUGAAUUAAAGAAGAAUAUCAUUAGGAUAUCAAACAACUAAACCAAGAUGCCAAAACAGAAACAUUUACGUGCGCAACAUAAAAAGAAAAUCACUGAGACGCCAAACACCUGCGUCAAGAUACAUACAGGAUCAGAAAUUACGAGUAAAUAUAAAAGAAGAAGAUUAUCAAAACAUAAAACGCCCAUCUUAAGUUAUGUGUGUGUAAUCAGAAACAUUCCAGUCAUGUGUCGUGAGUCAUCAGUCCUUGCCAAGCAGACAGGUGCACCACAGAGCACACAAAGGGAAGGGCAGCAAGCGGCAAGAAGAAAAUACACAAAAAUACAUAAGGGGAUAAAUUGUUAGUGAGAAGCCAGAAAAAAAAAUAUAUCUUCCACUACACCAACUCUUUGUUUAUGAGAAAAAUAUUUUACUCUCGUGACAAAAACUUCGCCACAAGUCAUUUAAUAAGCUUUCCCAGACCCUCCGAGGCAUUACCACACCCACUACGCCACCACAGUUGCCACACCAACACACUAUAGUACAGGAGCUUAUCACCAGAUUUCUCAAACGUUGUACUAGCCUUCAUUGACAAUGAUGUGGCUGAUUUGUCUUUUUCAACCUGUUUUUCAAGGAGUGAUAAGUUGGUUUUGUUGAUUUUUUUUUCUAUAUCAUUUUCUACGACUGAGUUUGUAACAUGUUGACUUAGAUCCAUGAAAACCCAACACUUCUAACUACUGUAACUCAGGGCUGUAUUACAAGUCGAAUCCCAGAAGUUUUGUAGUGCCGCGACUAGGCCUGAUAAGGGAGCCUCCCAUAACCCACUUGGCGAGUGGGGUACCUCUUUGGCCGACUCGGUAAGGAGUGGCUCUCCCAUCACGCUGGUCGCGGGUUCAAUCCCAGGCAGCUGGCGAAUACCUUGAUCUUGAUCGAUACACGCAGAGGGCAUGUUGGGAAAUAGAGGAAAUAGAAAAAUAUGCUCUCGGGGCAUGACAGUUUCAGGUCCCAACAGAGUUCGGGUUUGAAUAACUCUGUAGGGACCUGAAACUUCACGGAUUCGACUUGUAAUACGGCCCUUAAACCAAAACUGGAAUUAGAAAGACAAACAAGCCACAUAACCAUUGAUGAAUACUAGUGCGACGUAAAAACAAAUCUGGCGUACGUGUUAGUGGUGAUGUUUACAAUGUUUAUUCUGCAUCCGCUGGGGAGUUUGUGUGUUAAGGUGACCAGCUUCAGCGGGGAGCCUUGUAAACCAGAGGUGGAAAUGGGAAAGCAGAUGAAUGAUGAUAUAAACACUGUCAGGUAGGAAAGUGAAGAUGUACAAGGGAAAUAUAAGGUAGGAAAGUGAAUAUGUAUACAUGGGAAGAAUAAGGUAGGAAAGUGAAUAUGUAUACAUGGGAAAAAUAAGGUAGGAAAGUGAAUAUGUAUACAUGGGAAGAAUAAGGUAGGAAAGUGAAUAUGUAUACAUGGGAAAAAUAAGGUAGGAAAGUGAAUAUGUAUACAUGGGAAAAAUAAGGUAGGAAAGUGAAUAUGUAUACAUGGGAAAAAUAAAGUCAUGUAUGUGUAGAUAGAUCAAACAAAUGCAAGAAAAGAAAAACUGAGGUCAUGUGUAAGAAGAAGGAUGGACAGGUAGCCCAAUACAGGUACAGGUAAAAUAUUAGGUAAGUGGAAAGGUGAAUAAGUUUAUGAAAGAAAAAAUAGUGCACAGACAGGUAGGUGGAGGCAAACACUGUACAGGUAUUUGAGUGGACAGGUAGAAAAGGAGAAAUUAAUCAACUUAUAAACAGGUAAAAAUAUAGGAAAAGAACAGUGUAAACAAAUAGGCUGGGAAGCAGAUAAAAAAAAAAACUUAGUGCACAGGUGGACAAGUGGAGAUGAACUAUGAACUGGAAGACAGAAGAGCAGGUAAGAAGGAGAAAUUAAUCAACUCAGGUGCAAGUGAAUCAGUAGGGAAAGGGAAAGGUGAGCAAAUUAAUAGGAAAACAGGUGAGAAAAUUAUGUUCACAGGUGGGCAGGUGGAGGAAAUAUUUGACAGGUAGAUGAGUGGGCAGGUAACAAGAAAUCAAUCAACUCAGGUGCAUGUGAAAGAGAAAGUGAGUGAAAAAUACAGGUGAAAAAAUGUGCACAGGUGUAUAGGUGAAGGAAAACACUGAACAGGUAGGUGAGUGGGCAGGUAACAAGAAAUUCAUUAACUCAGGUGCAUGUGAAAGAGAAAGUAAAUGGAUAAACAGGUGAGAAAACAAUAUGUGCACAGGUGUAUAGGUGGAGGAAAACACUGAACAGGUAGGUGAGUGGGCAGGUAACAAAUCAAUAAACUCAGGUGCAUGUGAAAGAGAAAGUAGGUGGGAAAACAGGUGAGAAAGUGUGCACAGUGGAGGAAAAUACUUAACAGGUAGGUGAGUGCACAGGUAACGAGAAAUCAGCUCAGGUGUAUUUGGAAGAGAAAGUAAGUGGAAAAAACAGGUGAAUCAAAAGUCUGUGCACAGGUGAGAUGGAGAUGAUUAAAUAAAAGAAUGAGCAGGUGAGGAGAAAUUAAUCAACCCAGGUGGAAAUGAAAAAAAGGUAGGCAAGUUGGUGGGGAAACAGGUGAAUAAUAUUUGUACACAGGUGAGGUGAUGAGUAAAUAGGUGAGUGAGCAGGUAGACAACAGUGAAAUUCAUGACACCUCAGCCACCCAAGGUCACAGGGAAAGAGAGGAAGCAUUGAGUUCCUUUAUUAUAGUACAUUACUCGGCUCAUGAAGUACUAUUUAUAUUACACACACACACACACACACACACACACACACAUGCCAGGGCUGCCAAGGGUGAGGUUUCUCCGCCUAUUGAAUCUAUAUUUUUGUUGACGUUCUGCCGAAAAUACUCGUAAAGUCGCUGGUUAUGGAUUUUAUGGAGUAGCCACGAUGUUAUUUAAUUCUAGAGAUGAGUCAAAUUACGUAUACAUAAAAAUUUUGUGGUUAUCUCAUGAGGGUCAGUUUUAAUUUUUCUUUCGUUCUUUCUUUCUUUCUUUUUUGCAUUGAGGGUGUUUUGAUUUUUCUUUCGUUCUCUCUUUCUUUCUUUUCUGCAUUAAGGGUCAGUUUUAAUUUUUCUUUCGUUCUUUCUUUCUUUCUUUUUUGCGUGGAGGUCAGCGGGAAAUUCUCACAGUCUUAGCAGCCCCGACACACACUUGCUGCAGAGGUGAGGGAAGUAAGGGAAUGCAGGAGGGAGAACUCUCUAAGGUUAGGCACACUGAUUCCUUCCUUCCUUCCUUCUCAGCUGGUGUUAUGGGCCCAUAUUCUCAAACAUCUCAGGACUUACACACGCCCACAUUUGGCAAGACUCUCAUAGGUUGUGGGUAUUUCCAAGGGUAGUUUUGAGAGCCUAGCGAUUGUUCGAUAAGGAUUCUGUACCAUGAGGAAGAAAAAACUCAUGAGAACCCAAUUAGUCUCCUUAGUGGCCUUUGGAGGUAUUUGUUGUGAGAGCCGAGAGAGUCUGAGAACAUGGGCCGAAGAGUUCUGCCUUCUCAGUGACAUCAGCAGAAGGAAAGGUUUUGAAUCAAGACACUUCUGGCGCUGAGUUAGAGCAUUCUGUGUUGGCAUCUGUUGUACUAGUGUGGGAGAAUUGUGUUACGGGCAUUUAUCUCUUAUAUAUCUCUUGUUUGGCCCUUGGUCUGUCUCCCUUACCAUAGGAACUAGUAAUAAAUAUGGGGAUGCAAUAUACAGAUGAUAAUUUAAAGGGGAAAAUAUCAACAAGAUGUGAAAUAUGAACAUUGCAAGAGGAUACAAAUAAAAAUAACUUUGAAAUUUUGAAAACUGUAGUUGGAGCUGAAUUUAUAUAAUUAGAUGAUAGUUCAACAGAAAAUAAGUAACAAUAGAGCUGAACAGGGACACUAUAAAGGGGGGAAAGUUAAUAUGCAGCUCAUUGAAAUUUUGAGACAAGCAACCUAGUGAAAAAUUGAAGCCAGGUUACACAAAACAGAAAUGUCUUGGAAAAAAAGGAAUAACAAUAAUUCAAAAAAAUUUAAUCUUUAGUCAGAAAAUUCACUAGAGAAAUGAAUCCACAUUACACAAAACAGGGAAGUCUUGAAGGAGGAAACUUAGAGAACCCCACCAAUGUGCAUCUAGGCAAAGGUCUACAGGGAGUGGGGGCCAAAAAGCUAUCUUAGGGGACACCUGCAGUGCCUUGCCCCACCCCAGUCAUGGCAUAUGUACAAUACAGCACCAGGGCAAGGCUUGUAAUGCUCGCCAAUUGCUACGCAUCAUUCAAAGUACACGAAUUCACAUCAGGAAAAAGUAACCCUGGAAAUCCAAAUUGGGGCAUGGAAGUGAAAUGGUUAAUAUGAUGUUAUACUAUCAACCAGUAUUUUGACAGAGAAGUUCCGAUUUGUUCAAAGUUUGGUGAAUAUAUAAGUUGGCACUUUUUACUUUGUGCCAUUCAGUUUUUUUUAAUCCAGGGGCCACACAAUUUUAUGUUCACUGAAGUAAGCCAGUUUUUUUAUCAGUUAUUUUUAUUUUACUCUGGUCUUCAGCUUCUACUAUUCAAGACCUACCAGCCCUACUAGAUAUCUUUUCAACAGUUCAGCCCAAUUAUCAUGAGUAUCUUUCCUUGCUGAUACGAGAACAAAUUUGAAUGAUGCACACAAUUUAGCGAACAUAGGGCGUUGGUAACACUGGCCCCUGCACACACUAUACAAGGUGGCAGGAAGGUGGCAACACUGGCCCCUGCACACACUAUACCAAGGAACUGAGUGAGGAAUGUGGGAGUAUAGUGGAUGCAAGUGCGAAUGAGAGAAAAUAAAUAGUGCUCUGCCCGACACCCAUGAAGAAUAUAAAAGGAAGUUAAGGCAUCAAUAAAUACAGAAAAAGCAAUAUGUACAUUACUCUACGUGGAGAAACACAGCAAGCGAAAUACUACGGAAAGACACAAGAGAUACAAGAAUAUGAUCUACACAUUAGAAAAUAAAAUAUACGACUUCCUACUGCAUAAUAAAAGAGGAAUCUAUAUAUACAAAAAAAUGAAUCUACCCUCUUGAAAAUAGAAUAAUGUCACUUACUCCAUAAGAAAACUAGAUACAAGAAUAGAGUCUACAUUUCAGAAAACAAAAAAUACAGCUAUCUAUUAUCACUGCCAUAGGAGGGAAAAAAUAUAUAACAGAGAUCAGAAGGAAAUUUGAGUCCAAGUCAUGAAGGAUAAACAAUAAAUAAGAACACAGUGAAAUAAAUAAAAAUAACCUACCGUCCUUAAGCUAAAACAUAUGGUAUACCGAGAUAAAAACGUACUGAUUGGCAACUAACGUGAGUAUCCUAAGGAGGAACACGUGGAAAAUUGGAGAUUACAAUAGCAUAAUACUGAUGUUAGUUUUUUCUUUUCAUUUUUGUUGUAUGUAGAGUGGGAGUAUAGCGUCCAUGUGUUUCCCAGUAUGUGUGCGUGUGUCUGUGUGUGUAUCUUGUGUGUGCGUCCAGGAAUGACAAAAUGAUACCCUAAAAACAUACUAUCAUUCUACCUUAAAAAAAAACUACGACUAUUACAUUAAACAACUAUCUAAAAUCUUCAUUAGCUAAACCACUUCCUCCUCCAUCAAUGGCACACACACCUCAAUGCCCCAAAUAUGCAUGAAAAUCGACAAUCUAAUAUCUUUUUUCAACACAUGUCGAGAAAAAAAAGGCUACAGGCAAUCUAAUAUCUUUUUCUACACAUCUCUCGACUAAAAAAGGCAACAGGUUCACUAGAUCUACGGAAGCUAUUUGGAUACUUUUAUGUGACUGUCAACACUAUUUACCACCUCAAACACAAACACUCAUAAAUCACUUAUUUUUCUACACACACACACUCACACUCAUCGUCUCUCUUAGUCCAUGCAUUUGUGUUUACUCUUGAUUUACCUUCCUUCUAUUCUACCAAAGGAAGGUUCAAUCACUAUCUUCUACUACAGUACUUAUAUCACUUUCCUCUUUUCUAUUACAUCUAUCAGUCAAUUCAUUUCCCAUAUCAAAGGCACCUAAUAUUACUCCGUUCCUUUGGUCUUUGCACAUGUAUCUAUUCUAACGCUAAUACCAGCUGAUUUGUAUUAUGUCAUGGGUCGGCUCUCACUAUUAACUUCUUUUUGUUUAAUGUCCUUAUUUCCUACUUCUGACAUACAUAUACACAUACUCUAUCCUCCCUAAUGCUAGUCCUUCUCAUAUCUUUCUCCAUAUAAUCAUCUCCACAUCUCGCAUCACCACCAUACACCCUCACACAUUCUCACCACACCACCAAACAUCACUACAACCCUUGCCAUCCACUCUCUCCACCCCCACACACCUUCCACACAUGACCACAUACCUUGCUGUCCACUCUCUCCACCCACAUGCCCUCCACAUAUCACCACAACCCUUGCCAUCCACUCUCUCCACCACCACAUGUCACCACCCAUCAUGAAGGCUUGAGGACACACCACAUUUGCACAUAAGUUAUCACAGUUUUCAGGAAUGGCACAUGACCUCAAGACACUCCCUCACACUCACACACUCAUGAAUACUUAUUAGGAUUUCCGACUUUAUCUAUACAAGUUUCCUAUGCUGUCAGUCUCCCCUAUACCUUCAUCUCUGCUUCCUCAUUCUUCAAAAUAAUGAUUCCUCACACGAUGACACCCACACACACACUCAUGAAUACCUAAGACUUUUUUCUAUCUACACUUUCUUCUUCAGAGCUUCUUCCUAUCAACACAAGGUUCUGAUGUUGGCAGUCCCUCUAUUUCCAUCACCAUAUUCCUGUUUCCUCUCUUCCUUUAAAUUAUCAAUGAUUCCUCUUUUUCCUCUUUAUAUAUAUGUACAUUCAUUAAGUACUCUCCCUACAUGCCUUCAUCCCCAUAUCCUUCUAUAUCUCUCCCUCUAAACUCUCAUUAAUUCCUUGGUAUCUCUUUAUAUAUACAUACAUUCACUAAGUCCUCUCCCUAAAUGCCUUCAUCCCCAAAUCCUUCUUUAUCUCUCCCUCUAAACUCUCAUUAAUUCCUUGGUAUCUCUUUAUAUAUACAUACAUUCACUAAGUCCUCUCCCUAUAUGCCUUCAUCCCCAAAUCCUUCUUUAUCUCUCCUUCUAAACUCUCAUUAAUUCCUUGGUAUCUCUUUAUAUAUACAUACACUCACUAAGUCCUCUCCCUAUAUGCCUUCAUCCCCAUAUCCUUUCUCUCUUCCUCAAAACUCUCAAUCAUUCCUCCCUGUAUCUCUUUGUGUAUACGUAAAUUCACAAAGUCUUCUACACUAUUACCUAAGUUCUCACUACAUCCUUCACCCUUCAGUUUGAGGUAACACGGUAUAUUAUGCAAGGAAUGAGUCACCGUAUGUGAGUAUAGGAGUGAAGAGUGAAAGAGAAACAAAGAUUUUUCGCACACACCUAAAUGGGAAGUCAGGAAAUAUUACAGCUCACCAGAUUAAAUGAAACUAUCUCGUCCUGGAAAUGUGGAGAAACCAUGUAAGUAAUAUAAUGCAAAAAACUGGAAACAAAAAAGAAAAUAUAAGGAGAGGAAUGAAGUGAAUUUGGGACGUUUCAGAAAAAAAAAUUACACCAUUGAUAAACAAAACUGUGGUGAGAUGUGGCUCAAGAAAAUACCAAAGAGCAAGAUGGAAAAUAAAAAACAGACAUGUCAAAACAAAAUAAAACACACUGGAACAAAACAUAAGCCCACACGAGCAAAAAUAAAAAUAGAAACAAUAUAUAGUCAGUACACACCAAGUCACGGCAGCACUUACACACAUGGAAAAUUAGAACGUAAAGAAGAAAUAAUUACAAUAAACACUGGUGCUGCAUAUUCACAGUAGUGGUGGUGGCGGUGGUGAUGAGAGUGGAGGUAGUGGUGACAGAAAAAUUAGUGAUAAUAAGGCUAGGCUAAGGUAGAUCGGGUUAGUGGAGUGUUUAGUAAGUUUAGUUAAGUUUACGUACACGAGUUUAAUACUGAGAAGUCCCGUUGUUUGCCAGUAGAGGCGGGGAAGGCAACCAGAAGAGUUACGAAGGUUUGUGAUUGCACUGUUAAUUAAGAUUCACCUCCUCUUACUUACAUGCCAGAGAUAAAGGACGGUGAAAAGGGGAGUACGAGAAUGAUAGAAUACUCGGCCAGAAGAAAACCUUGUCGCCAGUUAGAAUGAAGGACUAUAAACAUUAAUGCAAGAAGAUUUUAGGAGAGAUUUUAUACAAGAGAGAUUUCGACCCAAGUUAGAAUGAGGACUUUUUAACCCGGUAGCUGUGGGGAUCAUGUUUCUUAAGGGCCCCUCUAAGCGAGAAAAAUGAGAAAAAAUCAUCACUCUCACAAACCACUCUAUAAUAUAUAUCAAAGCAUUUGUGAUCAGUUUAUGCAUCAUCUAUUUGGGGGGAUUUAUAUCAUAGCAAAAAUGUGGCUUGUCGCUGCUACCAGGAUAAACUUUUAUAUAUAUGAAGAUUUGAGGGGAGAAAGAUGUUAUGCAAGUGAGAUUUUAAACUAAGUAAAAAUGAGAGAUGUUUAAACUUAUAUACAUGAAGAUCUUACACGAGAUCGACUUUCUACAAGAGAGUUUCAACCCGAAAAACUUCAACCAUUCAUCAUACUCUUACUGGAAGGUGUGGCGGGAAUUAUCAAACCACAAAUUGCACUGCCCUUAGCCUUCCUUGUGGCCGAACACCACAAUAUUAGGUAAGGACAGGUAAGGGCAGGUGGGUUGACAUAAGGGACUGUUAGGGAUGAGAAGGGAAGGGGAAGAAAAAGAGGUAUGAGGCAAGGGAAGGGACUGGAAGGGAAAGGAAGGGAAGAG